CGUUGGUGGACGACACCCGAGUAAUUGCCGCCGAUCGCACGGCCUCCGAGCCGGCGACACCUUCACUGAGUUUCUGAUCUAUCAUGCUGACGACGGUUGGUGCUAUGCCAACCGUGGCGUUAACGGAUAACAGAGAAUCUGGGUUCGAUUCUGGAGAGGCCGCAUGAGAAACGGCGACCACUUCCAAGGAAGGCAGCAGGCACGCAAAUUACCCACUUCGGACACCGAGAGGUAGUGACGAACAAUACCGAUGCGGCGCACUUUCGUGUCGCCGUAAUCGGAAUGAGUACACUUGAAAUCCUUUAACGAGGAUCCACUGGAGGGCAAGCCUGGUGCCAGCAGCCGCGGUAAUUCCAGCUCCAGCAGCGUAUAUUUAUAUUGCUGCGUUUAAAAAGCUCGUAGUUGAAGCGUCAGACGCGGGAGGGCGGACGGCCGCACUGGUCGCUCUCGCCCGACCGAGCCAGGCGCAGAGGGCGCGCGUCGCUUGCACUUUGCCGUGUGAGCGCGCCGCCGCUGCACGUUCACCUUGAAGAAAUUGAACCGCUUAGAGGGGGCGAGCAGCUUGAACAGCUCAGCAUGGUAUGAUGGAACAUGGGCUCGUACUCAUUUUGUUGGUUAGAGAGUCGGCGAGCCAAUGAUUAACAGGGACUGCCGGGGGCAUUCGUACUCGGACGGGAGAGGUGAAAUUCAAGGAUCGUCCGAAGACGCCCUACUGCGAAAGCAUUUGCCAAGAAUGUUUUCAUUAAUCAAGAACGAAAGUCAGAGGUGCGAAGGCGAUCAGAUACCGCCGUAGUUCUGACCGUAAACGAUGCCGACUGGCAAUUGGGCGCACUUCUGUCGAAGUUGCCGCCAGCAGUAUUGCCCGGGAAACCAAAGUCAUUGGGUUCCGGGGGGAGUAUGGUUGCAAAGCUGAAACUUAAAGGAAUUGACGGAAGGGCACCACCAGGAGUGGAGCCUGCGGCUUAAUUUGACUCAACACGGGAAACCUCACCCGGCCCGAACACUGUUAUGACAGACAGGUUGAGAGCUCUUUCUCGAUUCAGUGGUUGGUGGUGCAUGGCCGUUCUUAGUUCGUGGAGCGAUCUGUCUGGUUAAUUCCGAUAACGAACGAGACUCUUGCCUGCUAAAUAGACGGCGUCGACUUGUGUCGGCGGCCGUUUGCUUCUUAGAGGGACAAGCGGCUUUUAGCCGCGUGAAGCGGAGAGCAAUAACAGGUCAGUGAUGCCCUCAGAUGUUCGGGGCCGCACGCGCGCUACACUGUUUGCAUCAGCGUGUUUCUCCCGCGCCGGCUGGCGUGGGCAACCCGUUGAACCGCAAACGUGCUAGGGAUCGGAGAUUGCAAUUGUUCUCCGUGAACGAGGAAUUCCUUGUACUGGCGAGUCAUCAGCUCGCGGGGAAUCUGUCCCUGCCCUUUGUACACACCGCCCGUCGCUACUACCGAUUGAGUGGUUUAGUGAGGCUCACGGACUGCGCGCGGCACACGG
rnacentral:rRNA from 1 species